ensembl:lncRNA
GUCAACAGCUUGUACUGCAGUAGCAGAGGGGAACCCCCAGAGCCACAGUCCCGAGAGCAGGGUCUGUAGCACGUCCUGCCAUGGAGAGAGAAGAGUCAACUGUUACACUUUCAGAGGUACUGAUACCGUCAGGAUCCAAAGCUCCUGCCGUUGGGUAACAGCUGGUAGCCUGUAGGACAGAGGCACUGGAAACCCCCUAUUGUGUUCCGGCACUCAUGUUGGCACGGGUUCCUCAGCAAGCACUCAUCCAGAUCUGUACAGAGACCGAUGACACAAUGAGGUGAGCAAGACGUAACACACUCAACUCCCUUGCUUGUGGCCUUUGCUUACAGACAUUCAAAUCAAAUUAGAAACUGCAAAGCUUUUUCUUCAUCUUGUCCACAAACACAGAUGCCAAAUAUAUGACUGAACGGGAAUCUUACUACUUCGGGGGGGAAGAGACGACUCACCGACACAUGUGCCAUCUCUGUUGGUAUAGCCUAUGGGGCAGCUCUGUCUGGUGAUGCGAGAUACCCCAUGAUGCCGAGAGGGAAUGGGCCUACCCAGCGACGACACCAGCUGUGGGCGCAGUCUUGCCCUGACACGGCUACCGUUGGAGAAGGCCUGUCCUCUCUCUAGACCAGCACAAGUGCGCCCAUCCCCCGUUAACACAGUGCCUGGUGGGCAGAGGCACCGGAAGCUGCCUGGCAUGUUACGGCACUGGUGGGCACAGGGGCUUGGCCUCUGUAGGCACUCAUCAAUGUCUGAAAGGCAAAACAAGACUCAGACACUACUUAGAACAAGAUUUUAUUGGACAGUAGCAUAUUGUUUAGUGUAGUAAUACAUGUCUAUGCCAAAAUGAAGUGUCUUACCCAGGCAUGGACGGCCCACCCCCUGGGACUGAUAACCUCUGGGGCAGACACAGCCGUACCCCCCAAUGGUGUUCUGACACAUCUGGCUGUAACGGCACAAGUGGCUUCCAUCCUGGCAUUCGUCCACAUCUGUGAAUCACAAUGUUGGUAAACACAGGGCAUACUAUAAUGAUAGGAUCAGCAUUCUCACACCACAAACCUGCGUGCAACAACAUUCAAAGUAAAAGAUGGGUGAAGUAUAAAUGGCAUCAUACCCACGCAGGCUCCAUUCUCUCCCAUUCUCAUGCCAGCUGGGCAGCUGUCGAAACACUGGUAGCCUCCCUCGGUGUUGCGGCACUGCUGGUGAGCUGGGCACACAUUCCUGCUGCACUCGUUGAUGUCUGUAUACAAACAAACACAAAGGGUUAGAGAUUCCACAAUUUAACUUGUAUGAUACUGGUAUGAAAUAUUUGAGUCUGUUGAUAAUAUCAUCAGUGAGUCACAGGGUCCACUGACCAAGACAGCGCUGGCCAGACAGCUGGUAGCCAGGGUUGCAGACACAGCGGAAGGAGCCCAAGGUGUUCAGACACUGCUGCUGACACGGGGAGAGAGACGACUCCUGGCACUCAUCCACAUCUGAAACUCACACCACAGGUCAAACUCUGUUACUAAUAUGCCUUAUUGUCAGGACCUUAUUAUAAGAUGGAGACUAGAAUGUAUUCUAUUCAGUGCAUGACUGAAAAACAAUCCCCCCCUCCCAAAAAAGUGUAUUUGUUGUGAAUAGACUUGCCUUCACAGCUGGAUCCCAUGGCGCUGGGCUUGAAGCCUGGGACACAUUUAGCCUGGCAGCGGUAUGUGCCAACCGUGUUCACACACUGCUGGUUGUAGUGGCACAUGUGGGAGCCCUGGGCACAUUCAUCAAUAUCUGUAGAGAGAUACCACAUGUGAGGUCAAACACAAGAACACUGUCUGCAAUACAGCAGUAGGAUGUAUACUUUCACAGUGAUAAUAUCACCCCGGAACCAAAUAGUGCGUGUGCUAGCUAACUGAUUCUGUUUACAUUUUAUCCCCCAACACUCUUUUCUUUUUUUUUUAUUACAAAUUUCAAAAUAGAUUACCUUCUAAAUAUAGCAUACAAAUCACCAUGAUACCAGAUCCCUUUACAGACCGAUCACUUACUGUAACGUUAUAUCUAAUUAGGAGAUACUGUAUAACGGUGUGAUAAAUUAUGCAGCAUUCAGUUUCCUGCGGCUGACCUUGACAUGUGUUGGUUUCUGGGGAGAUGGUGAAGCCAGAGGGACAGGCACAGGAGAAGCCACCCAUCACAUUGUUGCAGGAAUGUGAGCAAGGCGACUCGGCAGCACAUUCAUCCUCAUCUAAGCAUUCAGAUACAGUUUAUAAAGGUAAUCUGCAUUAAUGAGUUAAUUGAAUUGCAAACUACAAAAUAACAUUGGUCGAUCCAACAAAGAAAUUGAAGAAGGAAAAGGUAUACAAAACAUACCUGUACAGUAAGAGGCUGUAUCCAGGACAAAACCUUCCGGGCAUGUUUUUCCAUCCCCAUCUAAAGACAGAGGAGCACAUUCAAUCCAUGAGCAGAAGAUGCUACUGUAUCACAACUUUAAACAAUGAAAAUUACAUCUUAAAAAUGAAUGUGUUUGCUACAGUACAUCAGUUAAAAUUCAAGUGUUUGACUGACUGUCUGUUAGUCUGUAUUGUUAGCCUGCCUUGUGGUAAUCUGUCUUAUAUUUCCACUGACCAGGUAGGAGUAGGGAGGCUGUGAUCUGGAAGUCCAGACUGAGAGUGAACAUGCUGUAGAUGCCAUCCAUCUGGGACACCUUGAUGAGCUGCAGCAGUGGCCCCUGACGCUCCUCUCGGCCCUCGUAGAUGAUGGAGUGGUUACAGCGCAGCACCAUGGGACCGUCUGCUCUCUGGUGGGCCUGGGACGACCAUGAGUACAGCUGCCCUGGUCCCGUUUGCACGUAUGACUCAUCAAACUCCUGCAUGACACAAAGCAAUCAUCACAUUAGAGAUAUAUUAUGUUGAGAUUUAAUUAAGACUUUUAUGGUUUGUCACAGUCAGGGACUUCAGCUGGCCUUAGGAUGACAGUGUUAAUCAUUACACACCUGCAGAUUGAGAUGGGAGGUUGAUAAUGUCAGAGGGACAAAGCCGUUGAUAACAAUGUCUAUUAGGAGAGCCCCCUCUGAGUCCAGACCUCUGGCUACAUGGGUCAACUGAAGGAUCUCUCCUGGUUACAAACACAAACACAAUAUUCAAAUACAUCUGGGAUACAUUAUAAAACAGUCACUUGGGAGAGUUGUCUGUCUGAAGAGGACCCACCCCAUAUUUUUGGGGGUUCUUAUUGAAGUUGCCAAAGGAGUCCGUUAUUGAAACCAGAUCCUAGUAAUAAUUUUUUUAAACUGUAGUCAUGGAGAACUAUGCCCUCUGCUGGUUCUCUUAUGUACAGAUUUAAAGGGACAAUGCCGCUUACGAGAGACAACCACUGUUAUAGGACUACAUUUACAGUAGAGUAAACCUUAGUUCAGGUUAAUAUACAGGAUGUUAUUGUAUCUGUUCUUCAGUGCAGACCUGUGUCAAACUCCAGCUGUGACUCCUGUCUGAACAGGCCCUGGGUCAGGGAGUAGCCGUUCCUGGCUGCUCCAGUCUGCAGCACUGUGGUCCAGUAGAUGGGAGCAAACACAGACACCAACACCCGUAGCAAUGGACCUGCAAAACAUCAGUAGUUAGACCACAGCCUCUAUGGAAAUACCUCUGAGCAAAGUGUGAUAGGUCAAGAUACAGCAAUGAUCAGUGGCUGAGUGAUCUAUGUGCUUGAUUAUGGGAAAUAACUUUACAGCAAGUGCUUGAUUAUUGCAUUUAGAUGUGCUUCUGAGAGGCUCCUACUGGUUACUGUAAGACAUCUCUCACACUCCCAUACUCACCCACACUAGGAGGGAUGUUGUCCAGGUGGGCCUGCAGGGUGCUGGUGCCCUCUUCUGGGUUAUCUGUGAUGUUAGCCUCCAGGAACGACACCCCAAACUCCCUAUCAUUCACCACCCCUAUCAGACUCCCCCUGGCCUUACGAGGGGCCUCCCCUUCAGUCAACAGAGACAGAUACAUAAGUAUUAAGUUAUACAUUAUUUAAGAGUAGCUGUACUAUACCUUCUAUGUACACACAUUAUUUAAUUGUUAAAUUCAGCUGCGUCCGUUUGGAGUGACAGGAGAACAGUUCAAACACCCGUACCUGGACAGAGUCCAAUCUGACAUCUCCUGGAGUCCCUACUGGGAGCGUCACAUGAUUUCCCCCCAUUGGCCAGCUCUGGAUUGUUGCAUAACCUGAUUCGCUCCUGAUUCCCUCGACCACAGGUGGUGCUGCAUGGGCCCCAAUCCUCCCAGUUAGAAUAACCUCCAUUGACUGUGGCAGGAGAGGGAGAGUAGGGAGGGAGACGGAGAUCAUCCAUAUAGAGAAUUAAAUAAACAAUCCAUAAUUACUAUUGUGUGUUUUCUUAUUCCUUUGAUAUAAUGGAUCGAGAGGAUCGAAUUGUAAGAAUAUUAGAUUUAUUUUAUUUAUUUAUUUAUAGGGGACAAUCAACAUUAAUCAACAUGAAUAUUACAAUAAUGCAACAUCCAUGUAAAUGUGCCGGGG